UUUGAUGCUAAUCAUGGGGGAGCGGUUUGCGCAAUACCUUCGUUAUGGUUGACACCAAAGAAAAAAGAAGCUUUUUGUCCGCCAUUUAAGGAUCAAAGUAAACUCGAUAAGGCACUGUCACAGCGUGAAGCAGUAGAUGAAAGUUCGUGGCAAUUGUAUAAUGUAUCAAGAAUAUUUUACGAAACAGAUGAUAUUUUGAAAGCAAAAAAGAAAGUAAAAGAAGCUCAUCAGUAUCAUCAAACCUCGAAAGUGAAGAAGAGCUCAAUCGCAGAGGCAACAAGAAACGAAAAUCGAAGGCCACCAAAAAACUUUGUCAAUCAUCUGAUGAUGAAGACAGUAAUGAUUUCGAGCUUUCCAGGCCCCCACCUGUAAAAAGACCAAGCUGUUCUUCUGAAGUACACUCACAAAUUGAACCCAUAGUUGUUCAAAGAACUGAAUUACAAUCUCAAGAUACCCCCAGGUCCACAAAUAACCAUGAUAUAAUUAGAAAUAAUUUUGCUGCGAGGACGGGUUCAACGAGUGGAAUUUCCUCAACUCAACUAACUAUAACAG